rnacentral:rRNA from 1 species
CUACGUGCCAGCAGCCGCGGUAAUACGUAUGUCACAAGCGUUAUCCGGAUUUAUUGGGCGUAAAGCGCGUCUAGGUGGUUAUGUAAGUCUGAUGUGAAAAUGCAGGGCUCAACUCUGUAUUGCGUUGGAAACUGUGUAACUAGAGUACUGGAGAGGUAAGCGGAACUACAAGUGUAGAGGUGAAAUUCGUAGAUAUUUGUAGGAAUGCCGAUGGGGAAGCCAGCUUACUGGACAGAUACUGACGCUAAAGCGCGAAAGCGUGGGUAGCAAACAGGAUUAGAUACCCUGGUAGUCCACGCCGUAAACGAUGAUUACUAGGUGUUGGGGGUCGAACCUCAGCGCCCAAGCUAACGCGAUAAGUAAUCCGCCUGGGGAGUACGUACGCAAGUAUGAAACUCAAAGGAAUUGACGGGGACCCGCACAAGCGGUGGAGCAUGUGGUUUAAUUCGACGCAACGCGAGGAACCUUACCAGCGUUUGACAUC